UCCAGUUCUGGACUCUCGUACUGAUCUCCAGUUCUGGACUCUCGUACUGACCUCCAGUUCUGGACUCUCAUACUGAUCUCCAGUUCUGGACUCUCGUACUGAUCUCUAGUUCUGGACUCUCGUACUGAUCUCCAGUUCUGGACUCUCGUACUGAUCUCCAGUUCUGGACUCUCGUACUGAUCUCCAGCCCUGGACUCUCGUACUGACCUCCAGUUCUGGACUCUCGUACUGAUCUCCAUUCUGGGUCUCUAACAUCAAAGGCGGAAAAUUGAAGGCCAACAUCUGAUGAAUUUUUUAAUUUGAGUCAAUUGUAGUAUCCCAACACCUUUUGCGUAUACUAUCAUGGGCACAUCCAAGAUGAAUUCAACUUUCAAGAAACCUUGGAUAUUACUGAGUCAUCCAUGAAAGAACAAAGAAUGUGUUUAAUUACUUCGGUUGAAUAGCUUUAUUCCAAACCUCUUUUAUGACGGAAGCUACAUCCAAAGACCCAAGAAAGACUUAAAAAAAAACAAAAACCAAAAAAAAAACCACGAAGCUUACUCCUACUAGUAUAAUAGAGAUCGCUUUCCAAUUGACAGUGACAGAACCUUGUUUGUGAUGAUAGAAUGUCACUUGCUUGUCAUGGAAUGGAAUUAUUUUUAUGUUGUGGGACAAAUUGUAAUGGUUACGUUGGCUGAUAUUUAUUUAUUAAUGCAAUUAAGACAAUGUGUAAUUAUUUAUAAUUUUCAGUUUAAAAAAAACGCAAUAUUUUUUGAUUGAUUUCUUUUCGUACCCUUUUUCAAACUGUGCGUUGGCUCAAUGUACAAUUAAUUUAUUACAAUCACUUUGGGAUAAAUGUAUUGCCUAUUUCUAUAAUUUAAUUUAAUUUAAUCUGUAGAUUUAGAUUUGUAAAUUACUUUGCUUAUUUAACAAAACCUUUUAGGAUAACAGCAUCAGAGAUGCUUUGAUACUGUAUUUUUAGUUGCUUUAGAAAGCAGCCAAAUUCUGUUACAUACAGGGGAAAAUACAGGUUACAAAAAAAAAAAAGAAAUACUUUUUCCAAAAAUUGUAUUUAAUUUUACAGUCUUUUUUUUUUUUAGGCUCUUCAAUUAAAUUAUUUAAGUUAAUCCCCCACUAGACACAGAUGCUUGGGGGGGGGUAAUUUUUUAAGCAUUUUAUGCCGUAGGGCAACUUAUUUAUUUAAUUUAUUCGGCAUGCGCAGAUAAGCUGCACAUGUACAGUUUAUAUUUUUUAUUUAAAACAACUUAAGCACUACUUUAUUUGCUGAUCAGAACAACAGGGCGAAAUUUGUGGACAAGCAUUUACUGACUCUGAUGUUUUUUUGUUUUUUUUUUGGAAUAGGAUGACAAUGCUUUAUUUGAUCACCAAAGAUAAUUUUUUUUUCCAGAAACUUUGUAGCGAUAUGGCUUCUAUCACAACCUGGAAAAAAAAAAAACACACAAAAAAAAUACUAGUAAUAAUAAUAAACCAUGACAUUCCAAACCAAAAAAAAAGAGAGAGAGAGAGAAACCCUUAAACUAGCUGCUUCCAAGAAUGAACUACGUGUGUGAAAUGGAAAAAAAAAUAAUAAAAAAAAAAACAUUUCUAUUCCAAGUGAGAACCAAAAAUAGGCUACCUCACUGAAUUUUUUCCUUUUUGUAAUUUUAAUCGUGUUGAUACCAAAGAUACCAAAGAUUUGUUUUUAUGUGCGGUCUGUCCUUUGCAUCUGCUCUUUUCCUAACUCUAAUCUCCUUUCAUUAACGAGAGGCCUACAAGGCAUGGCCGCCGGUCGUCUUGAAGGCCCUUUUUUUAACCAAAAAAAAAAAUCUUGUAUAUAUACAGCUGAAGCUCAAAUACCCCAAAGAAAA